rnacentral:rRNA from 1 species
CAGCCGCCGCGGUAAUACCAGCUCUUCAAGUGGUCGGGAAUAUUAUUGGGCUUAAAGUGUCCGUAGCCGGUUAGAACAGUUCCUGGUAAAAUCUGGCAGCUUAACUGUCAGGUCGCUAGGAAUACUAUCUUACUAGAGGGUGGGAAAGGUUUGGGGUACUCCAGGGGUAGCGGUGAAAUGCGAUAAUCCGUGGGGGACCACCAGUGGCGAAGGCGCCAGACUGGAACACGCCUGACGGUGAGGGACGAAAGCCAGGGGAGCGAACGGGAUUAGAUACCCCGGUAGUCCUGGCCGUAAACGAUGCGUGCUAGGUGUUGGUAGGGCUUUGAGCCGUAUCAGUGCCGUAGGGAAACUGUUAAGCGCGCCGCCUGGGAAGUACGCUCGCAAGAGUGAAACUUAAAGGAAUUGGCGGGGGAGCACCACAAGGGGUGAAGCCUGCGGUUCAAUUGGACUCAACGCCGGGAAACUUACCGGGGGCGACAGCAGAAUGAAGUCAGGUUGACGACCCUUACCAGACAAGCUGAGCGGAGGUGCAUGGCCGUCGCCAGUUCGUGCCGUGAGGUAUCCUGUUAAGUCAGGCAACGAACGAGACCCACAUGCUUAAUUGCCAUCAAUGGCCUACGGGUCAGUUGGGAACGUAAGCAGACUGCCAUCAUAUAGAUGGAGGAAGGAGUGGGCCACGGCAGGUCAGUAUGCCCCUAAUCCCCCGGGCCACACGCGGGCUGCAAUGGUAUGGACAAUGGGUCGCGACGCUGAAAAGCGAAGCCAAUCUCGAAAACCAUAUCUCAGUUGGGAUUGUUGGCUGUAACCCGCCGACAUGAACGUGGAAUCCCUAGUAAUCGUGUGUCAACAUCGCACGGUGAAUACGUCUCUGCUCCUUGCACACACCGCCCGUCGCUCCAUCCGAGUGCAGUGUAGUUGAAAAUUGGUCCUUCGGGUCGAUUUAAAAUUAUAUUGCGCGAGGAGGGAGAAGUCGUAACAAGGUAACCGUA